CGUACAGCACCACCUGCUGGACCACCUCCAGCUGCUCGGAAAGCCGGGGGAAAUGGAAAUCUGUGCACUCUUGAGACACGGUGGCAAAAUCUGGAUUAACAACAACAAGGGAUGGAUUUUAAACCACAUGUUAAGGGAGUUCACUCUGUUAUCGACGAGCAGGACGAGGCCGCAGAGAGAGGACGAGUACAGAGAGAAUGCCAUCUGAAGUCGACGCAGCUUGACACUGCCACCGCUGCCGUGGCGUCUGUGCUUGCAGAAGUCCAGCACGUUGGCCCGCACCAGCCGUAGGUUGUGCAUCGUCUUCAGCUGAGCCCCUGGACCAAGUGACAAAGAGAUGGAAACUCACAUUUUGGAAAAAUGCUAAUGCAUUCAAUUAGCACGGACACAUGAGCAAGAGCUCUCCGAAUUUUUUUUAUCUUUAAUUCAUUUUAGGCAAAGGCAAUUUUUCAGAUUCAUUCUCACUGUUAAAAUUACAUGACAUGUUAGGGGUGUGCAUCGAGACUGGGAUGCAGAGCGACCCAACAAAGAAGUCACUAGACACCAAACUAUUUCAGACACUUGAUUUACAAAUCCAAAAUCUAAUACUGCUGGUUACAAUUAUAAUUCCAUAUAAAUCCUACAAACAUUCAGCUACUUGUUCUUGAGAUAUCGCACUUAUAGCGCAUCAUAUUAGCAAACAUUAUUGUAAACAAUUUACUUAUAAUGAGGCCAUGCUUAAGCUAAUACUGUAUUAGCAAAUAUAACAUGACCACAGUGUAUUAGACAUUGCUGAUGAACUAGGAUUCUGCAUAUAUAAAAGACGUACUAUAGCCAUAUAUAGAUAUAUAUAAAAUAUAGAUGGGGUGUGUACUUUCACAUUGCGGUCUGUUCAGGUCCCGGGUGUUUCCAAACAGAUGCCAUACCUAAAUGAAUGGUGAAGCUCUCCUCCAGCUGUCGAUGCUCCUCGAACACUCUGGCCCCCGACUCGCCGGCCUCGGUCAGCUGCCCAGGCUGCACUUUAAUCUCCUCUCUGCAACACAAACAAUUUUCCAUGACUUAUAUCCUUCUGCUCACAGGUCAUCCUUGAAUGACUCCCAUUCUUAAAAUUAAAGUCAAUAAUGAGGCUCUUAA